GACGAACGCUGGCGGCGGGCCUAAUACAUGCAAGUAGAGCGCUGAAGGCGGAGCUUGCUUCUCUGGAUGAGUUGCGAACGGGUGAGUAACGCGUAGGUAACCUGCCUGGUAGCGGGGGAUAACUAUUGGAAGCGAUAGCUAAUACCGCAUAAGAGUAGAUGUUGCAUGACAUUUGCUUAAAAGGUGCAAUUGCAUCACUACCAGAUGGAUCUGAGUUGUAUUAGCUAGUGGGUGGGGGAACGGCUCACCAAGGCGACGAUACAUAGCCGACCAGCGAGGGUGCGCGGCAUAACUGGGAUGGGGACACGACCCACAACCCUAGGGGAGGCAGACGUAGCGGACUUUCACGAAUGGCAGGAAGUCUGACCGAGAGACGCUGCGUGAGUGCAGAAGGUUGUCGGGUCGUGAAGCUCAUUUGUGCGAGAAGAAUGAGUGUGAGAGUGAAAAGUUCACACUAUGACGGUAUCUUAACAGAAAGCGACGGCUAACUACGUG
rnacentral:rRNA from 1 species